AACUUUUAAAGUUAGGAAAGGAUACAAACUAACCCGGUUAAUUUAAUUGUAAAGAUUAGUUCUUAUAAAAAAUACGUAUAACCUAGUUAGUUUGGUCAACUAUGUUAUAUAACUUAAAGUAAGUUAAUUCAACUAAUUAUUUAAACCUUUCAAAAUCAAGGGACUAUAUUGGGUUUUUCCUAAAACUGAGAUGCCAGAAACUCUCGUUUAUAUGUGCAGACCUCUCAAAACAACAAUAAACUUUUCACCUCCUUAUCUCCAUUCCCCUCUCUAAAAUCCGGCCACCGGAUUAGGGUUCCGGCGACCCUUCCGGCGCCGCCUUUCCGGUGAGCCACUCCCAAACCAACCCGUUAAGGCUCCAUCUCAUUCUCCUUACUCUCGCUCCUCUCCUCCUCGCUCCAGACAAAUGGCCAGCCACCAUCUUGGGUGGCGGCGCACGUCAAAGAACGGCAACAGCCGCAUCACACGACGAACAGGAGAAGUCGAGUGGUGGUUCAGGCAACUGACGGUCUUCGGCAACUCAGGAAGCCGCACCGGCGACGGUGUCAGCAGUGGCGGUGGCCGACUCGGUUCAGGUCAUCGGAGCUCCGUCUAGGCUGACGACGGAGGAGGUGUUUAUGUGUUUCGAUUUGAGCCGGUUCAGAUUUGUUUUUGUUUCGGUUCGAGAUUUGGUCCCGGCUCGGAGACGGGUCAACAAGUCAGCUGGGAUUCGGGUCAAGUUUCGCGCCUCGGCUCAGUCUCGUUCAAGUCUUGGUUCGCGUUGGUUCACGUCGGAAGCUAACCGAAGAGCUACGGACGUCGCGACAAGAUAAACCGUUCGUUCGUUCUCUUGGAUUUCUCUAAUCCUUACUCGUGCGUUAUUUCAAGGAAUCUCCAAUUCGCAACCAAUGUUUAGCGAUGAUGUUGAUGAUGCAUGGAAUCUAGUAGGAUGCUUAGAUACACACUUUAAAUUUUGUAUUUUAUUUGUAUUGUAUUCCAUUAUUCACGAUGUAUUUGUUUCAAACUCUUGUAAUUGAUUCUUUAGAAAUGAAAUGAAAUUUACUAUUUAAAUA